UCCUACGGGGCGCAGCAGUGGGGAAUAUUGCACAAUGGGGGAAACCCUGAUGCAGCGACGCCGCGUGAGUGAAGAAGUAUUUCGGUAUGUAAAGCUCUAUCAGCAGGGAAGAAAUAGCGACCUUUGGGUCGCCAGACGGUACCUGACUAAGAAGCCCCGGCUAACUACGUGCCAGCAGCCGCGGUAAUACGUAGGGGGCAAGCGUUAUCCGGAUUUACUGGGUGUAAAGGGAGCGUAGACGGUGAGACAAGUCUGAAGUGAAAGCCCGGGGCUCAACCCCGGGACUGCUUUGGAAACUGCCUGAC
rnacentral:rRNA from 1 species